GACGAACGCUGGCGGCGUGCUUAACACAUGCAAGUCGAACGGUGAAGCGCCUUCCUUUUUGGUGGGUGUGGAUGAGUGGCGAACGGGUGAGUAACACGUGAGUAACCUGCCCCCUUCUUCUGGAUAACCGCAUGAAAGUGUGGCUAAUACGGGAUAUUCUGGGUCUGUCGCAUGAUGGGUCUGGGAAAGAUAUUGUUUCGGUGGGGGAUGGGCUCGCGGCCUAUCAGCUUGUUGGUGGGGUGAUGGCCUACCAAGGCGGUGACGGGUAGCCGGCCUGAGAGGGUGGACGGUCACACUGGGACUGAGACACGGCCCAGACUCAUACGGGAGGCAGCAGUGGGGAAUAUUGCACAAUGGGCGAAAGCCUGAUGCAGCGACGCCGCGUGAGGGAUGGAGGCCUUAGGGUUGUGAACCUCUUUCGCCAGUGAAGCAGGCCUGCCUCGUUUGUGGGUGGGUUGACGGUAGCUGGAUAAGAAGCGCCGGCUAACUACGUG
rnacentral:rRNA from 1 species